UCUUAUCAAGAGCGGUGGAGGGACUGGCCCGAUGAAGCCCAGCAACCGGGGAAACACGGUGCUAAAUCCAGCAGAGUGAAAGACUCUGACAGAUAAGG
rnacentral:ncRNA from 1 species